UAUAAGUCUGGGAUAACUUCGGGAAACCGGAGCUAAUACCGGAUAACAUUUAGAACCGCAUGGUUCUAAAGUGAAAGAUGGUUUUGCUAUCACUUAUAGAUGGACCCGCGCCGUAUUAGCUAGUUGGUAAGGUAACGGCUUACCAAGGCGACGAUACGUAGCCGACCUGAGAGGGUGAUCGGCCACACUGGAACUGAGACACGGUCCAGACUCCUACGGGAGGCAGCAGUAGGGAAUCUUCCGCAAUGGGCGAAAGCCUGACGGAGCAACGCCGCGUGAGUGAUGAAGGGUUUCGGCUCGUAAAACUCUGUUAUUAGGGAAGAACAAAUGUGUAAGUAACUGUGCACAUCUUGACGGUACCUAAUCAGAAAGCCACGGCUAACUACGUGCCAGCAGCCGCGGUAAUACGUAGGUGGCAAGCGUUAUCCGGAAUUAUUGGGCGUAAAGCGCGCGUAGGCGGCUUCUUAAGUCUGAUGUGAAAGCCCACGGCUCAACCGUGGAGGGUCAUUGGAAACUGGGAAACUUGAGUACAGAAGAGGAAAGUGGAAUUCCAUGUGUAGCGGUGAAAUGCGCAGAGAUAUGGAGGAACACCAGUGGCGAAGGCGACUUUCUGGUCUGUAACUGACGCUGAUGUGCGAAAGCGUGGGGAUCAAACAGGAUUAGAUACCCUGGUAGUCCACGCCGUAAACGAUGAGUGCUAAGUGUUAGGGGGUUUCCGCCCCUUAGUGCUGCAGCUAACGCAUUAAGCACUCCGCCUGGGGAGUACGACCGCAAGGUUGAAACUCAAG
rnacentral:rRNA from 1 species